UCCCCUCCUUUCCCCCUUCCUCUGUCUCUCUCUGUCUCUCUCUCCCCCCCUCUCAUUUAGGCACCAGCACCUACAUCCAAGAGAAGCAUUUCCUGCAGACAUCUGUGCUCAGUAGACCACCAUCUAGCAGGCCAGCUCAUAAAGAUCAAGAUUGCCUCAGGACUUGGCCUCCUCCAGUCGCCUCCAUUGUUCAGAGCUCGUCCUUCCUUCUUGAGGCCCAGAAGAAAGACAACUUCACUCUUGGCUAACUGCCGAACUGCCUGUGUGGCUUUAGGCAAAGCCUUCUUCUCUCUGGGCUGUCUCAGUUUCAUCAUCUUUAAAAUGGGGUUCCUGCAAUCACGCCUCAGCAAGGGACCUGCUGUGGGAUUUCUGCUCUCCAGGGAUGGCUAUCAACUCUACUAGAAACACCCCAAACCCACCAACCGGUAUUCGGAUUCAGAGCAUUUCUUCCCAUGGCCGUUGCUGGCUUGGCUUUCUUCUUUCACAGAUUGCCUGUUUAUCUCCUUUGACCAUUUAUUAAUCAAGAGAAAAUAAAUUUGUUAAUUUUUAAAAAUUCAAUUAAAUGUAGAAAUCAUCCCAUCUCUUGCUUUCCUGUUGACUGAUUGCCAG